rnacentral:rRNA from 1 species
CGGACGGGUGAGUAACACGUGGAUAACCUACCUAUAAGACUGGGAUAACUUAGGGAAACCGGAGCUAAUACCGGAUAAUAUAUUGAACCGCAUGGUUCAAUAGUGAAAGACGGUUUUGCUGUCACUUAUAGAUGGAUCCGCGCUGCAUUAGCUAGUUGGUAAGGUAACGGCUUACCAAGGCAACGAUGCGUAGCCGACCUGAGAGGGUGAUCGGCCACACUGGAACUGAGACACGGUCCAGACUCCUACGGGAGGCAGCAGGC